rnacentral:rRNA from 1 species
AAAGCGUGCGCAGGCGGUUAUAUAAGACAGAUGUGAAAUCCCCGGGCUCAACCUGGGAACUGCAUUUGUGACUGUAUAGCUAGAGUACGGCAGAGGGGGAUGGAAUUCCGCGUGUAGCAGUGAAAUGCGUAGAUAUGCGGAGGAACACCGAUGGCGAAGGCAAUCCCCUGGGCCUGUACUGACGCUCAUGCACGAAAGCGUGGGGAGCAAACAGGAUUAGAUACCCGGGU